rnacentral:rRNA from 1 species
AUUGAACGCUGGCGGCAUGCUUUACACAUGCAAGUCGAACGGUAACAGGGAGCUUGCUCCGCUGACGAGUGGCGAACGGGUGAGUAAUGCGUCGGAACGUGCCGAGUAGUGGGGGAUAACGCAUCGAAAGGUGUGCUAAUACCGCAUACGAACUGAGGUUGAAAGUGGGGGACCUUCGGGCCUCACGCUAUUCGAGCGGCCGACGUCUGAUUAGCUAGUUGGUGAGGUAAAGGCUCACCAAGGCGACGAUCAGUAGCGGGUCUGAGAGGAUGAUGCGCCACACUAGGACUGGGACCCGGCCCAGACUCCUACGGGAGGCAGCAGUGGGGAAUUUUGGACAAUGGGCGCAAGCCUGAUCCAGCCAUGCCGCGUGUCUGAAGAAGGCCUUCGGGUUGUAAAGGACUUUUGUCCGGGAGCAAAUGCUGGUGGCUAACAUCCACCGGAGCUGAGAGUACCGGAAGAAUAAGCACCGGCUAACUACGUGCCAGCCGCCGCUGUAAGAC